UUGACCUCGGAUCAGGUAGGGAUACCCGCUGAACUUAAGCAUAUCAAUAAGCGGAGGAAAAGAAACCAACAGGGAUUGCCUCAGUAACGGCGAGUGAAGCGGCAACAGCUCAAAUUUGAAAUCUGGCGCAAGCCCGAGUUGUAAUUUGUAGAGGAUGCUUCUGGGCAGCGGCCGGUCUAAGUUCCUUGGAACAGGACGUCAUAGAGGGUGAGAAUCCCGUAUGCGACCGGUUGGCACCCGUCACGUAGCUCCUUCGACGAGUCGAGUUGUUUGGGAAUGCAGCUCUAAAUGGGAGGUAAAUGUCUUCUAAAGCUAAAUAUUGGCCAGAGACCGAUAGCGCACAAGUAGAGUGAUCGAAAGAUGAAAAGCACUUUGGAAAGAGAGUUAAAAAGCACGUGAAAUUGUUGAAAGGGAAGCGCAAGCAACCAGACUUGUCGGCGGUGUUCCCCCGGUCUUCUGACCGGGUCACUCGCCGCCGGCAGGCCAACAUCAUUUGGGUGCGCCGGAUAAAGACGUGAGGAAUGUGGCCCCCUCGGGGGUGUUAUAGCCUCGCGUGCAAUACGGUGUCGCCCGAGUGAGGUCCGCGCUUCGGCUAGGAUGUUGGCGUAAUGGUUGUUUGCGGCCCGUCUUGAAACACGGACCAAGGAGUCUAACAUCUAUGCGAGUGUUCGGGUGUCAAACCCCUACGCGUAAUGAAAGUGAACGGAGGUGGGAACGAAAGUGCACCAUCGACCGAUCCUGAUGUCUUCGGAUGGAUUUGAGUAAGAGCAUAGCUGUUGGGACCCGAAAGAUGGUGAACUAUGCCUGAAUAGGGUGAAGCCAGAGGAAACUCUGGUGGAGGCUCGCAGCGGUUCUGACGUGCAAAUCGAUCGUCAAAUUUGGGUAUAGGGGCGAAAGACUAAUCGAACCAU
rnacentral:rRNA from 1 species